rnacentral:rRNA from 1 species
GUGGGGAAUCUUAGACAAUGGGCGCAAGCCUGAUCUAGCCAUGCCGCGUGAGCGAUGAAGGCCUUAGGGUUGUAAAGCUCUUUCAGUGGGGAGGAUAAUGACUGUACCCACAGAAGAAGCCCCGGCUAACUCCGUGCCAGCAGCCGCGGUAAUACGGAGGGGGCUAGCGUUGUUCGGAAUUACUGGGCGUAAAGCGCACGUAGGCGGACUGGAAAGUCAGGGGUGAAAUCCCGGGGCUCAACCCCGGAACUGCCUUUGAAACUCCCAGUCUUGAGGUCGAGAGAGGUGAGUGGAAUUCCGAGUGUAGAGGUGAAAUUCGUAGAUAUUCGGAGGAACACCAGUGGCGAAGGCGGCUCACUGGCUCGAUACUGACGCUGAGGUGCGAAAGCGUGGGGAGCAAACAGGAUUAGAAACCCGGGUAGUCC